GAUGAACGCUGGCGGCGCGCCUAAUACAUGCAAGUCGAGCGAACGGACGAGAAGCUUGCUUCUCUGAUGUUAGCGGCGGACGGGUGAGUAACACGUGGAUAACCUACCUAUAAGACUGGGAUAACUUCGGGAAACCGGAGCUAAUACCGGAUAAUAUUUUGAACCGCAUGGUUCAAAAGUGAAAGACGGUCUUGCUGUCACUUAUAGAUGGAUCCGCGCUGCAUUAGCUAGUUGGUAAGGUAACGGCUUACCAAGGCAACGAUGCAUAGCCGACCUGAGAGGGUGACCGGCCACACGGGAACGGAGACAGGGCCCAGACCCCGAGGGGAGGCACAGGGAGGGAUUCUUCCGAAAUGGGCGAAGGCCGGACGGAGCAACGCCGGGUGAGUAAUGAGGGUCUUCGGAUCGUAAAACUUUUUUAUUAGGGAAGAAAAUAUGGGUAAGUAACUGGGCACAUCUUGAGGGUACCUAAUCAGAAGCCCAGGGCAAACUACGUC
rnacentral:rRNA from 1 species